GCAAGUAUAGUUUAACUAAAAUGUUAGAUUGUGAUUCUAAAGAUAAGAGUUAAAAUCUCUUUAUUUACC
rnacentral:tRNA from 1 species